rnacentral:rRNA from 1 species
AAAGUUUGAUCCUGGCUCASAUUGAACGCUGGCGGCAGGCCUAWCAUAUGCAAGUCGAACGCGAAAGUCCUUCGGGAUGAGUAGAGUGGCGGACGGGUGAGUAACGCGUAGGAAUCUGUCCGGUAGUGGGGGAUAACGUUCCGAAAGGAACGCUAAUACCGCAUACGCCCUACGGGGGAAAGCGGGGGAUCUUCGGACCUCGCGCUAUCGGAGGAGCCUGCGUCGGAUUAGCUAGUUGGUAGGGUAAAGGCCUACCAAGGCGACGAUCCGUAGCUGGUCUGAGAGGAUGAUCAGCCACACCGGAACUGAGACACGGUCCGGACUCCUACGGGAGGCAGCAGUGGGGAAUAUUGCGCAACGGGGGAAACCCUGACGCAGCCAUGCCGCGUGUGUGAAGAAGGCCUUCGGGUUGUAAAGCACUUUCAGAGGGGAGGAAAGGGCGCUGGCUAAUAUCCAGCGCAGUUGACGCUACCCUCAGAAGAAGCACCGGCUAAUUCCGUGCCAGCAGCCGCGGUAAUACGGAAGGUGCAAGCGUUAAUCGGAAUUACUGGGCGUAAAGCGCGCGUAGGCGGCUUGGUAAGUCGGAUGUGAAAGCCCCGGGCUCAACCUGGGAACUGCAUUCGAUACUGCUGGGCUGGAGUACGAGAGAGGGGGGUGGAAUUCCAGGUGUAGCGGUGAAAUGCGUAGAGAUCUGGAGGAACACYAGUGGCGAAGGCGGCCCCCUGGUUCGAUACUGACGCUGAGGUGCGAAAGCGUGGGGAGCAAACAGGAUUAGAUACYCUGGUAGUCCACGCCGUAAACGAUGUCUGCUAGCCGUGGGGAUCCUUGAGGUCUCGGUGGCGCAGCUAACGCGAUAAGCAGACCGCCUGGGGAGUACGGCCGCAACGUUAAAACUCAAAUGAAUUGACGGGGGCCCGCACAGCGGURGAGCAUGGUGGAUUUAUUCGAUGCACGCGAGRACCUUACCAGGUCUUGACAUCCAGCGAACUGCCCAGAGAUGGGCGGGUGCCUUCGGGAGCSCUGAAACAGUGCUGCAUGCUGUCGUCAGCUCGKGUCUGGAAAUGUUGAUUAGGUCCGUUACGAGGCUACUUGCCUAGUGGCUUMCGAUCGCCGGACCCUYAGGGAAACUGCGGKAMAAAACCCGGA